UUUGGCUGCCAUAAUGUGUCCCUGUGGUGUUUUGUACAGCUUAAAGUUUAACAUCCGAGCAGAAGGCCCUAGAGACUUUGCAGAUAUGCUUCUGUCGUGGAAACAUAUGCCCAAUAUAUCAGUCUAUGACUUUGCACGAGGUCUUGUAAACCACACCAAUGUGAGAGUGCCAGAAAAUCCACCAUUCCAGCCAAAUGAAGGCCGUCUUGCUCCUCCAACCCCUGAGAACAUACAGGCCGCCAAAGACCGAACACUGAAGAUCCACCUUUUGUGGCUUUUGGAGCCAAACACUGAAAACCUUGAAGAUGAUUGUCAUCCGGUUACCAAAUCCUCUCAACAUUAUGUCUUAUGUGACAAGCUACAUGAAGGAAACAGCAAGGAUGAGAAGGACAUUCUCAGGAGGAUUGAACUUGUACCGGAGCUUGCUGGUCAGCUCAACAGCCAAGUAGCUGAACAGUUCUUUGCAAAGAUGCGGAAGAACACUUAUUUCAUUAACAAUAUGUUGCCUUCAGCUCACAUUUUCUUGGUGCGAAACAUUGUUCAUCACCACAAUGAAAAAAAAGACAGACAAACCAUUGAGAAGAUGAAAAGAAAUGUGAGGAUUGCCAGUAUCACUCUGGACACACUUGGGAAAGCAGUAGCAGCUCCACAGACUUCACUGGGCACUCAGACUUUAUUGGAACCCACAAGAAAUGUUGCUGGACCAAUCACCGAAAGGGAGACUUUCCUGUGUGACAUACAGCCACAGAGUUCAUGCUGGGAUUUGAAACCUAGUUCACUACAAAAAGAUAUGGUAGGUUUGAUUUCACUCUGUACAUACACAAAGCUGGUACUCUUAAUUUACGUGUGUGUGUGUGUGUGUGUGUGUGUGUGUGUGUGUGUGUGUGUGUGUAGCUGAAAUAUGUCUUGGACCCCAAAAGAAAUCCAGAUGAAACAAUUAUACGAACCCAGUUUACCAAAGUACAGCAAGUUACCUUGCAACGCAGAGACUUUUUGACUCUGGGCUUGGCACGGGAGUUGGAGGUCACAAUAGCAAAUUGCUGUUUUCAAAUAAUCACCCAAAUAGCACAGUCACAGCAAAAGGAUGUUUAUGCAGUGGAUUGCUAUGUUGUACCAACAUGGCUACCUCCACAUUGUCCGGAUACCUCGUCUUUCCCCAAUGAUUUGGCAAACAAAGAUUUUGUCCUCAUACCUAUUUGGAAACCAGGACACUACAUGCUCUGUGUUUUGAAGCUGAGCGAGAGACACAUUCUUUUCCUAGACUCCUUAUUCCAUAAACAUCCGGAAGCCUCAGUUGGCUUUGGCGAUCAACGAUACAUUCAGAUUUGCAGGUUUCAAUAGCAUGAAGUUCAGAUGUUCAAAACAUUAUUUAGGAUGUAAAGUUGUUAGUUAUUUUAGCUUUUGGUCUGUUCCUGACCACAUGAAGUUGUUCAAUAAGCAUGCUCCUGUGGUAUGUUCU